CUCGCUUCAGUGGAAAAUAAACUAAAAUUGGAACAAUACAGAGAAGAUUAGCAUCUCCCUGAGCAAGGAUGACAAGCAAAUUCAUGAAAUGUUCCAAAAAAAA
ensembl:snRNA U6 U6 spliceosomal RNA